GGACUGUAGCUUAGUGGCAGAGCUCCCGCCUCGCAUGUGUGAGGCACUGGGCUCAAUCCUCAGCACCA
rnacentral:tRNA from 1 species